rnacentral:rRNA from 1 species
AGUCGAACGCUUGCCGGAUUUCGGUCCGGCGGGAGUGGCGCACGGGUGAGUAGCGCGUGGGAACCUGCCCUGUUGUGGGGGAUAACCGAGGGAAACUUCGGCUAAUACCGCAUGCGCCCCCGGGAGUGGUCUUCGGAUUAGUUCUGGGGGGAAAGAUUUAUCGCAGCAGGAGGGGCCCGCGUCGGAUUAGCUGGUUGGUGGGGUAACGGCCUACCAAGGCACCGAUCCGUAGCUGGUCUGAGAGGAUGAUCAGCCACACUGGGACUGAGACACGGCCCAGACUCCUACGGGAGGCAGCAGUGGGGAAUAUUGGACAAUGGGGGCAACCCUGAUCCAGCAAUGCCGCGUGAGUGAUGAAGGCCUUCGGGUUGUAAAGCUCUUUCGCCCGCGACGAUGAUGACGGUAGCGGGAGAAGAAGCCCCGGCUAACUUCGUGCCAGCAGCCGCGGUAAUACGAAGGGGGCGAGCGUUGUUCGGAAUCACUGGGCGUAAAGGGCGCGUAGGCGGCCCUGUUUGUCGCGUGUGAAAGCCCCGGGCUCAACCUGGGAAUGGCGCGCGAGACGGCGGGGCUGGAGUUCGGGAGAGGAGCGUGGAAUUCCCAGUGUAGAGGUGAAAUUCGUAGAUAUUGGGA